rnacentral:lncRNA from 1 species
GUUGUCAAGUGAAUAAACUGAUUGUUGAAUCUUAAGAAGAUUAGGUAAAGUAAGAUUACAAGUAGGCAUAUCCUAUAAGAAGUUACAAACACACAUACAAACUAACAAGUGAUGUUUUUAUUCUUAGACAGGAUAAAAAGCAUGUGAUCAGUACUUCGAGAGAAGUGGACUAUUAGAAAUUAAUAGAAGGUAAAAAUAUUAUCUACAUUGUGUACAUAUAUAAAGCAUUAAGUCCUAUGAGCAACAACUACUAAAAUAGUUCUAGAAACACAAUUACUUAUACAUCUAUU